rnacentral:rRNA from 1 species
AGUCGAGAAUCUUCCGCAAUGGGCGAAAGCCUGACGGAGCGACACCGCGUGCAGGAUGAAGGCCCUAGGGUCGUAAACUGCUGUCACGCCAUAGGAAUGCAUUUUAUUAUGUUUGACCAAAGCGAGAGGAAGCACCGGCUAACUCCGUGCCAGCAGCCGCGGUAAUACGGAGGGUGCAAACGUUGUUCGGAAUCACUGGGCAUAAAGGGCUCGUAGGCGGUCCACUAAGUCAGGUGUGAAAUCCCCCGGCUCAACCGGGGAACUGCACUUGAUACUGGUGGGCUAGAGUAUGGUUGGGGUGAGCGGAACUCCUGGUGGAGCGGUGAAAUGCGUAGAUAUCAGGAGGAACACCGGUGGCGAAAGCGGCUCACUGGACCAUUACUGACGCUGAGGAGCGAAAGCUAGGGGAGCGAA